GCGCCGCUUGCCUCUCCAUCCUUGGUCCAGUUCAGCCUGGCAAGCGUUGCCAUGGCAGCGCCGCGGGCUGGGAUGCGGGAGGCCGAGCGCGCUGCCCCGCUCGCCUCUUUGUGCCGCGGGGGUGUCGGUGCGCUGCCUCCAUACCCGGCCGCACCCGCCACUCAGACCCCGACCCCCGGGACGGGGUGAAGGCAGCUACAAAGACUACGCCGGCUGCGCUCGGGGGACCGGCGGGAGGGAGGCUGCGGACGAGGGCGGGGAGGAGUUUGCGAUGGGAGGCGCCUGCAGGGGCUCCCCCAGUUCUGCGCUGUGAGCCGGGGCACAAAGAGCUCUCUGCACUGGCGCCGCAAGACCGCGGACCCGAGGAGAGCAUUUUGGCAAAUGCUGUGAUUUCAGAACACAGGCUGGCAUCUACUCUCCAGCGCACCCAUGGCUACAUUUCCCACCAUCUUUGGCGUCUACUCUCACCGCACCCACGGCUACAUUUCCCACCCCAUCUUUCCUUCUCUCUCGAUGACAGCUGGAGGCAUCUCCCUGCCUACCCGUAUGGUUCCAGACACAUUCAUGUGGCCGCCGUGACCCUACCAGCAUCAAAGGAGUAA
rnacentral:lncRNA from 1 species